rnacentral:rRNA from 1 species
UACGUAGGGUGCAAGCGUUGUCCGGAAUCAUUGGGCGUAAAGAGCGUGUAGGCGGCCCGAUAAGUCCGCUGUGAAAGCCCAGGGCUCAACCCUGGAAUGCCGGUGGAUACUGUCGGGCUAGAGUCCGGAAGGGGCGAGUGGAAUUCCUGGUGUAGCGGUGAAAUGCGCAGAUAUCAGGAGGAACACCAAUGGCGAAGGCAGCUCGCUGGGACGUUACUGACGCUGAGACGCGAAAGCGUGGGGAGCAAACAGG